CCCUUAGAUGUUCUGGGCCGCACGCGCGCUACACUGAUGCAGUCAACGAGUCUAAAACCUGGUCUGAUAGGGCUGGGUAAUCUUUUGAAAGUGCAUCGUGAUUGGGAUAGAUGAUUGCAAUUCUUCAUCUUCAACGAGGAAUGCCUAGUAAACGCAAGUCAUCAGCUUGCAUUGAUUACGUCCCUGCCCUUUGUACACACCGCCCGUCGCUCCUACCGAUUGAAUGAUCCGAUGAAUACCAUGGAUUGAGAGUACGAAUGGGUUCGCUCAUUUCUGCUGCUCGAGAAGUGGAGUAAAUCUUAUCAUUUAGAGGAAGGAGAAGUCGUAACA
rnacentral:rRNA from 1 species